GAACAACAGCGGUAAGAGAGUGUCUGAUCGGUAGCAAGAUUAGUGAAAUAAAUUUAUUACAUAACGUUAUUGUAUUAUUUUUAUUUAGUAAUUUACUGAUAUACAACGGGUGACUUUAAUAUCAGGCAUAUAACGUUCACUGUUCUAAACAGAAUGAUUUUCGUCUUUACUGCCACAGGACCAAACUUGAAUUCUGAAGAGUAUGAAUUUAAAAAAAAAAGUGGAAUUUCCCGAAAAGUAUUAAUCAGUAAAGUCUGCAAAAGCAAAUAGAAUUUGAAUUUCGCUCCAUGGUAUUCAAAUAUAAAGAAAAUAUAAAAAAAUAAUAUGAAUCAAGGCACUGCCUCAAUCGGGAUUUAAAGGUAGAUUUUGUAAUAAAAAAAUACUGCCCAUGCUUAUACUGAUGUGCAAGACAUUGCGGUUCGGACAAGUUAUGUGGACGCUUAUUACGCACAAGGAAAAGGCGUAUUCUUCCAAAAAUCCGAAGUCAGACGCUCUGUGCACGUGUCGGAAAGACACAUUUUCUUAAUUCCUUCGAUAGUAUAUCUCAUUUGGUAUAUAUCGUAUGUUACUGUAGAGGGUUCGAUCCCCGGCCACAUCAUACCAAAGACGUGAAAUGGCACCAGUAGUUCCCUUGCUUGGCGCUCAGCAUUAAAGGGAAACUGGCCUCAUCUAACAUACCCUCUUGGCGGUGGAUUCAAUCAGGAAUGAGGUGUCGAGAGUGAUUAAUGUAAGUUGUAGAAUUUGCUUUACAAUUGACCAAAAAUAAAUGUAUAAACUAAAUGCGUAUCACGCUGUGUAAUCAAAUAAAAUAAAAUAAUAAAAAUAAAAAAAAAAACAAAAAAAAAAAAAAACAAAAAAAAAAAACAACAACAUUUAAAACACAUGAAAAGAAAAUAAGUACGAUCGAAUUCAAACAUGUUUUUACUUCUUUUCAUAUUUUACAAGCGUGUUAGCGAAAAUAUUGCAUCUGAUGUCAACACUAUGAGAAAUAUUUCCAUUUAAGACUGAUUAAGAAACAAACAAACAUUCCUUAUACCGUAACACUUAAUUAGAGACUUUAAAACCUAAUCUAUCAUGUGACAUAACAAUGUAAUAAAAAUGUCAUAUUAUAGCUCAUCUAACACCAGUCCGAAUUGCAAUGGAUCCGUCCAAUUAAGCGCAUCAGGUCAUAAAUCCCCCGCUGUCACGACGUAGUGAUCUUAAAUUGGAUUAGUGCGAGAGAACAUACAGGCUCUGAUUAAGGACUUUAUUCGGGUAUGUCGGUUCAUAAAGACGCCUGAUGUCGAGACGGUGAAGGCACGUCUACAAGAUAAUGUGGUAUAAACAGAUGGUAAACGUAAUUUCCGGACACAGAUGCGACUUGCAAGGGUCAAAAUCUUUAAAUUAUGAUCUCUAUGUGCAUGCGAAUAUCUUCAGCCGACUUGUGAAAUGUCCAAACAGCUCCAGCUGCUACCUAAGAUGAUAACACGGACGAUAAAGGAAUGAAGGGUAUGUCUGCUUCACUACGAUUGACAAAACUUGCACAUCUACUUUCAAGUUGGUGAAAGCACGACUUCAAGAUGUAAGCUGAAAAAGAAGAUGGUAAUUUCCGGCCACAAGUGUCAAAAUCUUAAAAUUAGGGUCGAAGAGAAAUAUACGUCUCCUUGCGGUAAACCAGAAUACAGCACGGCAUUUUGCUUCAAAUACGUGUUAUUCAAAAGACAACAACAGUUUAAAGCCAAAGGAACCCAAUCUAACAAAUUGUGUCAGUCGUUGGACAUUCAAAAUCAUGAUCUGAUAUAUCGUUUGGAAAUUCUCCCCUUUGCUGAUGAAAUACCAUCUAUCAUUUAAUGGAUAUUUAACUAGAAUAGAACGGAACAGAACAGAACAGAACGGACCAGAACAGAACUCUCAGUCAGCAUUUACAUCUCUGUAAACGGCAUCGAUAUUGCCAUUUAAUUUAUCAUAUAUUUAUCGAUUUAUAACUGGUAUUCUGCGGACUCCGUAAAAAUUUUGAUACAUUGACAUUUUCUUGACAAAAUAUUGAUAAAUCAGUUGAUAGACCGAUAUCGAAGUUGGAUUUUGCUGUUAUCCGAAUUCAGAAAGCAGCAUAAUACAAUAAGUACAAUGAUUAUCAAGAUUUAUAAAAAAUGUUUCACCUAGAGUUAUUUUGACAUAGGAAUUUCUACACGUCUGACAAACCGGAAGUAAAGGCAUGACGUCAUUUAACCGGAAAUAUAACACAAAACCUGGACUCAGCAUAUGGAUUCUCCUUUUCGUUUGCCUAAUUUUCUUAAAAUAUCUAUGGGUUUGAAAACUUAAGAUUUUCUCAAUUCGAGCAAACAACAACAACAACUACAAAACCACCAUAAUGUAAAUUCUGUAUGUUUUGUGCAAAUUUGUCAAGAGGAUACAUGUAUAUAAAUGUGUACAUGAUAUUUUAAAUUAAUUGUCAAGAAUAUUAUUUACAUUUGUCAUAUAAUAGAUGAAUCUAAUAUAAUGAAGUUAUACAUA